GACGAACGCUGGCGGCGUGCUUAACACAUGCAAGUCGAACGGAAAGGCCCUGCUUUUGUGGGGUGCUCGAGUGGCGAACGGGUGAGUAACACGUGAGUAACCUGCCCUUGACUUUGGGAUAACUUCAGGAAACUGGGGCUAAUACCGGAUAGGAGCUCCUGCUGCAUGGUGGGGGUUGGAAAGUUUCGGCGGUUGGGGAUGGACUCGCGGCUUAUCAGCUUGUUGGUGGGGUAGUGGCUUACCAAGGCUUUGACGGGUAGCCGGCCUGAGAGGGUGACCGGCGACAGUGGGACUGAGAGACGGCCCAGACUCCUACGGGAGGCAGCAGUGGGAAAUAUUGCACAAUGGGCGGAAGCCUGAUGCAGCAACGCCGCGUGCGGGAUGACGGCCUUCGGGUUGUAAACCGCUUUCGCCUGUGACGAAGCGUGAGUGACGGUAAUGGGUAAAGAAGCACCGGCUAACUACGUG
rnacentral:rRNA from 1 species